rnacentral:rRNA from 1 species
UACGGAGGGGGCGAGCGUUAUUCGGAAUCAUUGGGCGUAAAGGGCGCGUAGGCGGCUUCAUAAGUCCUGGGUGAAAGCCCUCGGCUCAACCGAGGAAUUGCCUUGGAUACUGUGAAGCUCGAGGCUGGAAGAGGGCAGUGGAAUUCCCGGUGUAGCGGUGAAAUGCGUAGAUAUCGGGAAGAACACCCGUGGCGAAGGCGGCUCUCUGGGACGGUACUGACGCUGAGGCGCGAAGCAGCGG